UAUAAAAAAAUAUUUUUGCGACUCAUAGACCAUCAGCAUGCAUAUUUAAAACUGUUUUCAAUCACUUUUUAAUGUGUAAACAACAUAAACGCUUCUGGAAGUAGAUUAAAAUUCCAGCGAUGCUUAAAAGGCCACCGUAGCUCAAAGGAUAGCAUGUUUCCCUCUGAUGCUGAACAAACGUAUGGGUUCAAAUUCCGGCGACAGCGAAAAUAAAAAAAUUGUGAUGGUUCCUGUCCUACCUUUUGAUCUUUUGUAAUCAGCCGUGUAAACUUCUGUACUAAGUGGUGGCGUUCUGCGGCAAGGCUUUAGGACUCGGUUAUUAAAAGGAGGUACCUUAUCAUUAAGCUUGAAUUUGUAUUGGACAGCACUCAUUGUUAUGAGAGAAGUAUCACUACUAUACCCUGAUGGAAUGUUCAUGGGCAAA